rnacentral:lncRNA from 1 species
CAGGAGUUCUGCAGCAUCACAAGAGAAAUCAACAGAGCAGGAGGAAAUUGGCUUAUUUCACAGAGAGGCACUUGGAGCAACCAGGCAGCCCAAAGCCCCUGGGAAGCCAGGCAAAGGACCACCUAGGUCAUAACUGCAUCCUCUCUGCUGUUGUCACUCUUUGGAGAAAAGUGUUUUCAGGACCCAGUCCUCAGACCCAUUCACACCUGAGCCAACUCCAUCAGAGGAGAGGGAGGAUGGGACCUUACCAGGCUAUGGGGUCUCGAAGCACCUAACACUCCAUAGGUACUCAGCAAACAACUGGAAAUGAAUGAACGGAUGACUGCUGUGCAGAAAAUGUGUCCAGAAUAAUCAGUGAGGAGGUGACUAUGUAGUCCAAAUAUUAAAUCACAGGUGACCUGGGCUGUGGGGAUGAAGAGAAGUGCACAGAUUCAUGGCAUGUUUGGGAGGUAGAAUAAAUUACAUGCUGGUACGGGCAUAGUGAUGCUGAUGGUGGGAAGUGUGGUAUCAAGGAUGAGAUCCUGGUUUCUAACAUAACAACUGAAUAGCUGAAGGUAUCAUUACCUGAGAUACAAAUGACUGGAGGGGUAGGUCAACGGUAGAGUAACAAAUUCAUGUGCCAACACAUUUAGCUUUAGGUGUCCAUGGAACAUCCAAGUGGAGGCUUCAGCUGUUGCCAGUCUUUGCCCUGGAGAAGCACACCUAGACCCAGAUGGAUCACAGGUGGAGCUUUAGCCUCCCCUCUGGAGAGCAAUGCCAGGGUCUGUGCCAGCAGGGGCACCUGAGCCCAGUGUGCUGGGACCCUGACCCAGUCUCUGCUCUUGAGUCUGCCAUUCAAUAUCUGCGAAUCCUGGAGAAGAAGCCCCAGGAAGUAUGGACUGGAAGACUGGGGAGGCAGGCCCUCCAAGAAGACAGUAGCAUCCCCUGAUGUGGCAUCCACCUUCCUCUAGUGUUUGAGAUGUGGGUGCGACAAGUUGGCAUUGGAAGGAAAUCCCUGUCUGGCUCUUGUGCUACCGUAGACCUGGAACCCUGGAACAAUGCUCUUGUCUUUAGCCCCUCUUCUGCUUUCCCAUUGUUCAAGCCAAGCCUUUUCCAUUUUGCCUCUACAAUGGAAUCUAAGGAUAGAGAAUGGGAUAAUUGGGGAUAUGUGAUUGUCUCCUGAAUCUGAGCCUAUUAAUAUAUCCUUCUAAAGGCAUUGUUCCUACUGACCACCCCAAAGAACUGGAUUCCAUGAGUGUCCAGCAAGUGACUAAGAUUCCAAUUUAGGCCUUCUCUUCUAAGAGCCAGUACCUGGAUAAAAGGCAAAAUUCAACCUGAUAGUCUCUUAUAGCAGUUUAGGGAACCACAACUUGUCAGGAAUACAGGACAGCAGGAUUUUUGUUAGGCCUCAGGUAACACACCGCUGCCUAGGCCUUGCUGCGUCCUGGGAUGCCAGAGGACUUGUUUCCUUAGCUACAAUCAUCAUGUGACAAGAACACACAGAGAUUCGGAGAUGUUGCUUAGCAACCAUGCUGCACCUGCUGGGGCUCUGGGCCAGCAGCUUGGGCCAGGGAGCCUGGCUUUGAACUUGGAAACUCCCAUAAGGGCUGUCAAAAGGAGGAAGACCUAAUUUGGGGAGACUGUUUUGGCCCUGGGCUUUUGCAGAGAUGGUAAAGGUACAGAUGGAGAACUGAGGCUGAGGAAACUGGCUUUCCCAUAGUAAUGGAGAAGGGUGGUGGGCGUGGGAAGAGCAGGACUAGUGGGCAGAGACAGACUGUUGGGCUGAUGUGGGUAGCAGUUCCCUGCCUGACCUACCCUAGAGAAAAUCCUUUUGUCUCAGAGGAUGGGUGUUCAGAACCCUGAGGAGGGAUAUGCCUGGCUCAAGAACCAGUUCCAUAGGGCUUCUUAGGGACCUGAAUCAAGCCAGAGGAUCUGUUCCCUAAGAGUCAGUCCAAGGAGAAUUCCCUUCUGGAAGGGAGCAGAGUGCUUCACAAUGGGUGACAUUGGUGGUGGUCAGGGAGCGCAAUGAAGUAGUAUCAGAAACUGGGCUGUUCAACCACAGGGCCACUGGGGAGCUGUCCAUGGUUUGGGGUAGGCUCCUCACCAGCUCUGGCUGUCUCUCUCACUCUCUGCCAGGGCCCAGUUGAUUUGAUAGGCUGUGGAGUCAGAUUGCCUAGAUUUGAAUCCAACUUCCUCUCCCAGGGGAAAGGGACUAAAUUUUGUGUUUCAGUUUAUCUGUCUGUACAAUGUGGAUGGGGAUCUCAAGGACUGUUGUAAGGACAAAAUGAGUUAAUCACACUUCUUGGCAUAUACUAAAUGGCCAGUAAAACUAUCAUCACCCUCAUCCCCACCCCAAUCCUCACCCCCAGCAACUGGCCCAGGGGACAAAGUCUAUGGCCAGGUAUUCUCCAAUCUUUCUUGAUACCCCUGGAGCACAUGGGAAUAAAUAAUGGCGAGAAUCUAUACCCUCUGCAUUUGCAGAUGGGAGGAGCAUUCCCCUCCCUGCUUGCUGAGGAUUUGAAUAUCCUUAACCAAUUGACUUUGUUUUAGUGAACCAAGUACUCCUCCAACCCUUGAUGCCCCAAAUACCCUAAUAUCUUCACUUUGGUGCUGCUCAUAUUAAAAUUGUACAUAUAGCAUGGCACUUUAGGAGGCAGUGAGAUCAUGGGUUCAGGACUUGAGCUCAAAUCCCAGCUUCUGUUAUAUCCUAACCACGAAAUCUUGAACAAAUUUUAUCUCCUCUCUGAGCCUCAGUUUUCUCAUCUCUAAUACAGGGAAGUGAUAGUACCUAACCUUCUUAGUAUGAGAUAUGCCCAGCUCUUGAUAAAUGUUAGCCAUGUUACCAAAUUUCUCUCUUUGUGGCUUUAUGAACUUUAUGAACUGGCUCCAAGUGAGAAUGUGAGGACCAAGGGGGCUAGUAGAUUCCAACUGUUCCCCUAAGGGGAGAAAGGGAGGAGUUAAAGAAGCUGAUGGUUGAAGUGCCCCCCUCCUCAAUACUCCAACAUGGGACUGGCAGCUGCAAUAGCAUCUUUGUCCUCCUGUGUUUGGACACUGACUAUUCUGCUAUCUGGUGCUGAGGGAAUCCCAGCCAGCCUGCCUUAAGCAUUCUCCCUACCCUCCACUCCAGCCAGUCCGAGGUCCCUCAACACUCCCCCUCUCUCUAAGCCAUGUCAAAUGCUGGCGCCUGCCCUUCCUCCUUUCUCAAAUGAGCUUGUUCCCCAGAUGACCCUACAGCUGCAUGGUUCUAAGAUUAGCUGGAUCCUGCAUUUGACUCUGAUAAUUAAUUACCCAAAUGGAGAAAAUUGAAUAGUUAACUGGUUCACAGGAAGAUAAUUAGCUUUUCUGAGCCCCUGUUACAGGCAAAUAAAGAGGAGGAUUGUUUCUCAAUUGCCUUCAUUAAAGGGAGUCCCUCUCACCCAGGAGCCCUGACCCAGAGGCCCUUGGGGGCCCUGAGGGGUUCUGUAGUGCUCCUGGUGCUUUAUCUCAAAAUAGAGAGGCAGCUGGUACAGUGUAGCCAGCACAGGCUUCAGACUCUAAGCAAGCUUGGGCUCAAGCUCCGCCUCUACCAUGUAUUACCUAUGAGACCUUGGUAUUGCAGUACAACCUCUCUAAGCCUCCCUUUCCUUAUCUGAAUAUGGGAAUAAUGCUGUGUAACUCACAGUGGUGUUAUAAGCAUUAAACUACAUAAUGUCAGUAACAUGCCCUGUUCUGCACUCAUUGAUAGAUUUUUUCAUUGAUAAAGUUCUUCAUAAAGUUUAUUGUUCAUUGAUGAAGUGUUCAUUGAUUGGGAACCAUUUUACCAUGUCAUGAUUGUAGCUCCCAUCAUAGCAUAUGCUCCCAUAUCAUGGAAACAAGGGAAACACAUAUGAAAGCCAGGAGAACAGCAAAUCAAGAUUAAAUCGAGCAUCCUAUGCUGAUUGGUGCAGGGUCUACACACAGGGUGGGGAAGAUUCAUGAAGGUCUUCUUCAGCCUGUUCAACUUGUCUUUGUACUGAUAUUGGCUCUGCCCUUUGAUACUAGGCUUUCUGGGUCACCAUGUGGUCACUCUUCUGUCAGCAGCAAUCCCUCACCAACCCUCUCUCAAGCACAGAGACUCAUCCCCACCUACUUGACUGCAGUCUUUCUAAAAUUUUAUUUACUCUGCCCAAGCCCAGCUCCCUGGAGUGUUUAUCACUCUGACACGUUCAGCACAUAUAGAUACGUAUGUAGAGGUUAAGAGCAUGGGCCCUGAGCCAGACUGCCUGAGUUCAAAUUCAGCUUAGGUACCUACUCUGUUACUUACCUUGUGCCUCAGUUUCCUCAUUAUAAAAUGAGGUUGAUAACAAUAGUACCUAUGUCAUAGAAUUAUUAUGAUUAAAUAAAUGUGAAGUGUUUGGAGUAGUGCCUUGUAAGUGCUCACACGUGUUAUCUAUUAUUAUUAUUCAGUUCUGAAGCUGGAUUAGGACAAGGAGAGGUCUACAGAUUGAGGAAAAAAGGCAGGGCCGGAGGCCUUCACCUGGCUAGUACAGGGAAGUGAUAGUACCUAACCUUCUUAGUAUGGGAUGUGCCCAGCUCUUGAUACGUGUUAGCAAUGUUACCAAAUUUCUCUCUUUGUGGCCUUAUGAACUUUAUGAACUGGCUCCAAGUGAGAAUGUGAGGAUCAAGGGGGCUAAUAGAUUCCAACUGGUCCCCUAAGGGGAGAAAGUGGGGAGUUAAAGAAGCUGAUGGUUGAAGUGCCCCAGCUGAGUGGACUCAGAGGCAACUGGACCCUCUCCGCAGGGACGAUUAACUCCUGGGUAGCAAUCUCACAUUCUUUUAGGUAAUAUGUUGUACUUCCUCAUUUCUGCUUAAACCGCCAACAAUUCUUCCCAUAGUUUCACUCUCAGCUAAUAACUUUGCAUCUUGUUUCACUGAGAAAAUACGGGUCAUUAGAAAAGAGCGUCAACAACCUCCCCCACCACGUUUACUUCCUGCCAGGGCUCUGUCCAUAUAUUCAGUUUUCUUUUUUUUCUUUUUCUUUUUUUUGAGACAGAGUCUUGCUCAGUCGCCCAGGCUGGAGUGCAGUGGUGCAAUCUUGGCUCACUGCAAGCUCCGCCUCCCGGGUUCACACCAUUCUCCUGCCUCAGCCUCUCCAGUAGCUGGGACUACAGGCGCCUGCCACCAUGCCCGGAUAAUUUUUUUUAUUUUUAUUUUUAUUUUUAGUAGAGAUGGGGUUUCACCAUGUUAGCCAGGUUGGUCUCGAUCUCCUGACCUUGUGAUACACCCGCCUCAGCCUCCCAAAGUGCUGGGAUUACAGGCGUGAGCCAUCGCGCCCGUCCCAUAUAUUCAGUUUUCAUUGUUAACUACCUGUGUUCUUUUCCAAGGCCAACAUUUUACUUAUUGCUAGAUCCCAUUCUUUCUUGCUUACUCAAGGACACUGCUCCAGCAUUUUUCCCUCUCUUUCCUGAAUCAUCAGUUUUUUUCUCUCUACUGGAACAUUCACAUCAGCAUAAAAACAUGCUGCUAUUUCUUUAUUGUGGAAAAAAACAAAAGCAAAACUCUUUAUCUCACAAUGAUUCGAGCUACUACCUCAUUGCUUUGCUUCCUUUUGUAGCAAAACCUAUUGAAAGAAGUCGUUGUUGCUGUUUUUAACAAUUGCUGCCUCCAAUUCUUCCUCUCACAUUCUUUCUUAUUUUCUUUCCUUUUCUUUUUUUUUUAGACGGUGUCUCACUCUGUUGCCCAGGCUGAAGAAGACCUCCAUGACUCUUCCCCACCGUGUGUGUGGGAAGUGCAGUGGCAUGAUCACGGCUCACUGGCUCACUGUAGCCUCAACUCCCAGGCUCAUGUGAUCCUUGCAUCUCAGCUCUUCGAGUAGCUGGAACUACAACCACCCACCACCAUGCCUGGCUAAUUUAUUUUAUUUUGUUUUAUUCUACUUUAUUUUAUUUUAUUUUUGUAGAGACAAGGUCUCAUUAUGUUGCCCGGGCUCGUCUUGAACUCCUGAGCUCAAGUGAUCCUCCCACCUCGGCCUGCUAAAGAACUAGGAUUACAGGCGUGAGCCACCAUACCUGGUCCUCCCAUCCUUUCUUGAACCCACUCCAAUCAGUCUUUCACAUUUACCACUCUAGCAAGACUGAAUUAUCAAGAUCACCAAUUGCCUCCAUAUUGCUAAAUCCAUGGUCAAUUCUCAGUUCUCAUCUUUCUUGACCACGUGGUAGAGAGAGGUUAGCUGUUCCAAGUCUCUUCUUUCUCCUGGGCACCAGCUGGAUCACAUUUUCCAGACUUAUUUGUAGCUAGGUGUGGUGAUAUUGCUGGGUUCUGACCAGUGGAAUGUGGGUGGAAGGGAUUUAUGUAACUUUCAAGCCUGACCCACAAAACCUUUCUGUGCUGGAGGUCUGCCCUCCUCUAUUCACCUUUUUCCACUCUACUCCUGCCUUAGGAGCCUAACCACUAGAUACUUUAUCAAUGAGCCUUCUGGUUUCUGACUGGGUCAAGUCAAUCAGAGGUAUCUGUAGGAGACUGGGAGGAAGAAGGAGAAUGAGGUCAGGGUACUUAUUCCCUUGGCUUCCUCUCUUUAGGGUUGCUUUGAAUUGGCCACUUCCUUUACUGAAGCUUCAGUUAGGCAUCUCACCCCACAUAGCUCUUCCUCUCUCCCAAUUCCACUAACCAUUAUUUUCUCUUGCCUCUUCAGACCCAGGGGUGGUAAAAGCUCCUACUGUCAAUCAUCUCUGGGUUAUAGCAAAUCCUUUGAUAGCUUUCCUGCCCCUGCUCACACCUUUAUAAGUAAUCUCUUUAUUAAACCUUUCUCAAAUUUGA